GACGAACGCUGGCGGCGUGCUUAACACAUGCAAGUCGAACGAAGAGCGAUGGAAGCUUGCUUCUCUCAAUCUUAGUGGCGAACGGGUGAGUAACGCGUAAUCAACCUGCCCUUCAGAGGGGGACAACAGUUGGAAACGACUGCUAAUACCGCAUACGAUCUAACCUCGGCAUCGAGGAGAGAUGAAAGGUGGCCUCUACAUGUAAGCUAUCACUGAAGGAGGGGAUUGCGUCUGAUUAGCUAGUUGGGGAGGUAACGGCCCACCAAGGCGAUGCUCAGUAGCCGGUCUGGGAGGAUGGACGGCCACAUUGGGACUGAGACACGGCCCAGACUCCUACGGGAGGCAGCAGUGGGGGAUCUUCCGCAAUGGACGGAAGUCUGACGGGGCAACGCCGCGUGGGCGAUGGCGGCCUUCGGGUUGUUAAGCUCUGUUAAUCGGGACGAAAGGCCUUCUUGCGAAUAGUGAGAAGGAUUGACGGUACCGAAAUAGAAAGCCACGGCUAACUACGUG
rnacentral:rRNA from 1 species